rnacentral:rRNA from 1 species
UACGUAGGUGGCAAGCGUUAUCCGGAAUUAUUGGGCGUAAAGCGCGCGCAGGCGGUUUCUUAAGUCUGAUGUGAAAGCCCACGGCUCAACCGUGGAGGGUCAUUGGAAACUGGGGAACUUGAGUGCAGGAGAGAAAAGCGGAAUUCCACGUGUAGCGGUGAAAUGCGUAGAGAUGUGGAGGAACACCAGUGGCGAAGGCGGCUUUUUGGUCUGUAACUGACGCUGAGGCGCGAAAGCGUGGGGAGCAAACAGG